rnacentral:rRNA from 1 species
GAUGAACGCUGGCGGUAUGCUUAACACAUGCAAGUCGAACGGUCACUUCGGUGAUAGUGGCGGACGGGUGAGUAACGCGUGAGAAUCUGUCUUCAGGUCGGGGACAACAGUUAGAAAUGACUGCUAAUACCGGAUGUGCCUUUGGGUGAAAGAUUUAUUGCCUGAAAAAGAGCUCGCGUCAGAUUAGCUAGUAGGUGGUGUAAGAGACUACCUAGGCUCCGAUCUGUAGCUGGUCUGAGAGGACGAUCAGCCACACUGGAACUGAGACACGGUCCAGACUCCUACGGGAGGGAGCAGUGGGGAAUUUUCCGCAAUGGGCGAUAGCCUGACGGAGCAAUACCGCGUGAGGGACGAAGGCUUUUGGGUCGUAAACCUCUUUUCUCAAGGAAGAUGAUGACGGUACUUGAGGAAUAAGCAUCGGCUAACUCUGUG